rnacentral:rRNA from 1 species
CGUAACAAGGUCUCCGUAGGUGAACCUGCGGAGGGAUCAUUACACAAAUAUGAAGGCGGGCUGGAACCUCUCGGGGUUACAGCCUUGCUGAAUUAUUCACCCUUGUCUUUUGCGUACUUCUUGUUUCCUUGGUGGGUUCGCCCACCACUAGGACAAACAUAAACCUUUUGUAAUUGCAAUCAGCGUCAGUAACAAAUUAAUAAUUACAACUUUCAACAACGGAUCUCUUGGUUCUGGCAUCGAUGAAGAACGCAGCGAAAUGCGAUAAGUAGUGUGAAUUGCAGAAUUCAGUGAAUCAUCGAAUCUUUGAACGCACAUUGCGCCCUUUGGUAUUCCAAAGGGCAUGCCUGUUCGAGCGUCAUUUGUACCCUCAAGCUUUGCUUGGUGUUGGGCGUCUUGUCUCUAGCUUUGCUGGAGACUCGCCUUAAGGUAAUUGGCAGCCGGCCUACUGGUUUCGGAGCGCAGCACAAGUCGCACUCUCUAUCAGCAAAGGUCUAGCAUCCAUUAAGCCUUUUUUUCAACUUUUGACCUCGGAUCAGGUAGGGAUACCCGCUGAACUUAAGC